CUGAGAGGUUAUCAACAAAUUAUAAGUUUACGGGUACCAUGAGGAUUUUUCAUGCAUUUAAACGAAAGAAGUACAAGCGAACAGAUGACACAUUAAAGUGGCUGCAGAAGCUUGAAAAGUUAAAUAGAGCAGGGGCAGUCAAAACAGUGGGAUAAUACUUCUAUAGGGUCCAACAUGUCUAGUAAGGCUGACAGAAGUGAAAGAUGGUCUGAUGGUACAAUGAUGUACAAAUGAUACUCUUUAACAAGUUGAACAUGUCAAGGAUAUAUACCUGUGAAAUCUUCAGUGUCACCGUUCAUCUAUUGUUCAAGAUCAGUGUCUGCAGCUUGCACAGUUUAGUAUAGAGGAGCCUUCUGAAUCAACUUUGUUACAUAUUUGCUGUUAUUGUAGGACACGCAUGUAGAGAGCAGCAAGUCCUGUUCAGCCGUGCUUGUAAAUGUGAUUCAGAAACUUGAGAAUAUGUAAACAUUACACUGUUAUAAUUUUCAAAAUACUGUGUCUUGUAGUGUAUCAGUACUGUUUUGUCUCAGUUUAUAGCACAGUAUGCUCACAAAUCAAACAUAAGACCAUAGUGAUCAGUAUUAUUAAAAUCAUUAAUCAUUUGUAUGGUGACAAAAUUUAUUUUCAUGCAAUACCACAGUAAAAUGUUUGAUAAUUUUCGCUUUUAAAGUUGUAAGUUUAAGGUUGGCAUAAAUUGUUUUUUUUUUCUUUCAUAAAUCUAAAAAGUGAUUGGUCAUUAUAACUGCAAUAUUAUUUUAGUAUGACAAAGUUUAUAUUGAACUAAAACACUAAUGUAAAUUUUUGAACUAAUCAAUACAUUUUCUUCAGUCUUAAAACAUUUGUUUAUCGUACGUGUCAUGGCCCAUAACUCCUCCAUAUUACUUGUGUUUUGUCCUUUUUCAUUUCACUGAAGAAUAGGUAGAGGUAUUGCACAUCCAUUUUUUAGCAUCCUGAUUUUGUAAAGUGUUGUAUGUAAGGUUUUCUCUCGGAAUUAUGUCUCAUCUAAAGGUGGGGAGAGGUAUUAAUUAUGCCUUCUCGUCUAUCCGCAUUAAGCCUGUCUGGCUUAAAGAGGACAAGCUGCUGGCCAGAUUUUGAUGAAAUUUCACAGGACUGAUCAGUACCAAGCAUAGUGUUGUGCAUAUCGCUUGCAUGUUUCGUUUUGAUGCACUAAAUUGCAGCCAUAGCUAAAAAUAGAAAAAUCUUGUCGGCUUUCACAGGUUAAAACUACUGUACAGAUUUUGAUGAAACUUCACAGGAGUGAUCAGUACCAAGUAUAUUUUUGCAUAUCACCAACACUUUCCAUUUUGCUGCACAAAAUAGCCGCCACAGCUAAAGGUAUACAUAGGUGGGAGACAUGUUUUGUCAUAAAAAUACCUAAAGCACCUUCCAAUUUGUUAAUGAAAAAUGUAACAAACAUCUUACAAUUGCAAACUGUAAUAAUUUGACAUUAAAUGCACUAUCUAUAGCUCCAUAACUACAUUUAGCUUUUUUCAUAAUUAUUGCCCUUUUCUUACCAUAGCAAUAUUUUGUGUAACAUGUUACCUCAUUAAGCAUCAUAAGAUCAGAAAGUUCUAUGACUCAGACAUGUUGGCCCUUUUGUACUUAU
rnacentral:lncRNA from 1 species